rnacentral:rRNA from 1 species
UACGUAGGGUGCGAGCGUUGUCCGGAAUUAUUGGGCGUAAAGAGCUUGUAGGCGGUUUGUCGCGUCUGCUGUGAAAAUCCGGGGCUCAACCCCGGACUUGCAGUGGGUACGGGCAGACUAGAGUGCGGUAGGGGAGAGUGGAAUUCCUGGUGUAGCGGUGGAAUGCGCAGAUAUCAGGAGGAACACCGAUGGCGAAGGCAGAUCUCUGGGCCGUUACUGACGCUGAGGAGCGAAAGCGUGGGGAGCGAACAGG